UUCACGACCCCACCAACCUUGGGUGGCCGACCUGGUCUCUUUGUUGCCACAACACCACCACCACCACCACCGGCAGCAGCUAGAACCGGAGAUUUCUUGGGGCGACCUCUUGGCCUUGGCACAUUGAGAACUGCAGCACCCGUAGCAUAAGGGACAACAACAGACUUAGGCAGGCGUUUAGGACCCUUCUUAACCCCAUUAGCAGCCACAGACUUAGGCUUCUUGGGUCUCCCCGGACUUUUCUUAACUCCCAUCGACGCAAUCUUCGGCGGCCUCCCUCUCUUAGACACCAAUGGCGCACCUUGUCCGGCCACGUUCUUAGGACGACCAGGGCUACUCUUAACCGCGUCAGCCUGAGCUACAGGAGCAGAAGCAGCAGCAGCA
rnacentral:misc_RNA from 1 species